GACGAACGCUGGCGGCGUGCUUAACACAUGCAAGUCGAACGGAAAGGCCCUGCUUUUGUGGGGUGCUCGAGUGGCGAACGGGUGAGUAACACGUGAGUAACCUGCCCUUGACUUUGGGAUAACUUCAGGAAACUGGGGCUAAUACCGGAUAGGAGCUCCUGCUGCAUGGUGGGGGUUGGAAAGUUUCGGCGGUUGGGGAUGGACUCGCGGCUUAUCAGCUUGUUGGUGGGGGAGUGGCUUACCAAGGCUUUGACGGGUAGCCGGCCUGAGAGGGUGACCGGCCACAUUGGGACUGAGAUACGGCCCAGACUCCUACGGGAGGCAGCAGUGGGGAAUAUGGCACAAUGGGCGGAAGCCUGAUGCAGCAACGCCGCGUGCGGGAUGACGGCCUUCGGUUGGUAAACCGCUUUCGCCUGUGACGAAGCGUGAGUGACGGUAAUGGGUAAAGAAGCACCGGCUAACUACGUG
rnacentral:rRNA from 1 species